AAUGAACGUUGGCGGCGUGGAUUAGGCAUGCAAGUCGUACGCUUUAUGUAGCAAUACAUGAAGAGUGGCGUAAGGGAGAGUAAUGCAUGGUUAGCUACCCUGGGGACUGGGAUAGCGGCGGGAAACUGCCGGUAAUACCAGAUGACAUCUUCGGAUCAAACGUGUGAAUCGGCCCUAGGAGGUGACCAUGUCCUAUCAGCUAGUUGGCGGUGUAACGGACCACCAAGGCUAAGACGGGUAUGGGGCGUGAGAGCGUGCCCCCACUCACUGGGACUGAGACACUGCCCAGACACCUACGGGUGGCUGCAGUCGAGAAUCUUCGGCAAUGGGCGCAAGCCUGACCGAGCGACGCCGCGUGCGGGAUGAAGGCCUUCGGGUUGUAAACCGCUGUCGUAGGGGAGGAAGGUCUGGUGUAUAGCCAGGCUUGACCGAUCCUAGGAGGAAGGGCCGGCUAAUCUCGUGCCAGCCGCCGCGGUAAUAC
rnacentral:rRNA from 1 species